rnacentral:rRNA from 1 species
CAACCCUUGACAUCCCCGGACAGCGCCAGAGAUGGCGUCUCCACUUCGGUGGCCGGGAGACAGGUGCUGCAUGGCUGUCGUCAGCUCGUGUCGUGAGAUGUUCGGUUAAGUCCGCCACCAAGCGCAACCCACGUCCCCAGUUGCCAGCAUUCAGUUGGGCACUCUGUGGAAACUGCCGAUGAUAAGUCGGAGGAAGGUGUGGAUGACGUCAAGUCCUCAUGGCCCUUACGGGUUGGGCUACACACGUGCUACAAUGGCAGUGACAAUGGGCUAAUCCCAAAAGCUGUCUCAGUUCCGGAUUGUCCUCUGCAACUCGAGGGCAUGAAGUUGGAAUCGCUAGUAAUCGCGUAACACCAUGACGCGGUGAAUACGUUCCCGGUCUUGGACCCACCG